GUGAGUCAUCGAAUCUUUGAACGCACCUUGCACCCUUUGGUAUUCCGAAGGGUACACCCGUUUGAGUGUCAUUGUAAUCUCACCAUCCAACUCUUUGUUGGCAUGUCGUGGAUUUGGAUGCUGCCGUGUCGCAACGGCUCAUCUGAAAUGCCUGAGUACAUCCUGGAUCGUGAUGUGUUCGGUGUGAUAAACUUUCACCGUCUCUGACCCUAGCGGUCACACUCACCUGCCCAAGGCUCUGUGCUUCCAACCGUCUUGAUCGGACAAUUUUGACAAUUUGACCUCAAAUCGGGUGGGACUACCCGCUGAACUUAAGCAUAUCAAUAAGCGGAGGA
rnacentral:misc_RNA from 1 species